rnacentral:tRNA from 1 species
UUGAUGUAGCUCAGUGGUAGAGUGCUUGCCUCGCAUGGACAAGGCCCUGGGUUUAAUCCCCAACACCUCAAA